rnacentral:rRNA from 1 species
AGAGUUUGAUCCUGGCUCAGGAUGAACGCUAGCGGCAGGCCUAACACAUGCAAGUCGAGGGGUAACAGGAAAGCUUGCUUUUGCUGACGACCGGCGCACGGGUGCGUAACGCGUAUGCAACCUACCUCAUACAGGAGAAUAGCCCUUGGAAACGAGGAUUAAUACUCCAUGGUAUCAUUCUUUCGCAUGUUAGAAUGAUUAAAGAAUUUCGGUAUGAGAUGGGCAUGCGUCCCAUUAGCUAGUUGGUGAGGUAACGGCUCACCAAGGCAACGAUGGGUAGGGGGCCUGAGAGGGUGGUCCCCCACACUGGUACUGAGACACGGACCAGACUCCUACGGGAGGCAGCAGUGAGGAAUAUUGGUCAAUGGAGGAAACUCUGAACCAGCCAUGCCGCGUGAAGGAUGACGGCCCUAUGGGUUGUAAACUUCUUUUAUAUGGGAAGAAACUUAUCUACGUGUAGAUAACUGACGGUACCAUACGAAUAAGGAUCGGCUAACUCCGUGCCAGCAGCCGCGGUAAUACGGAGGAUCCAAGCGUUAUCCGGAUUCAUUGGGUUUAAAGGGUCCGUAGGCGGAUUUUUAAGUCAGUGGUGAAAGCCGACAGCUCAACUGUCGAACUGCCAUUGAUACUGGAAAUCUUGAGUACAAAUGAAGUAGGCGGAAUGAGUCAUGUAGCGGUGAAAUGCAUAGAUAUGACUCAGAACACCGAUUGCGAAGGCAGCUUACUAACAUGUAACUGACGCUGAGGGACGAAAGCGUGGGGAGCGAACAGGAUUAGAUACCCUGGUAGUCCACGCC